rnacentral:rRNA from 1 species
UACGUAGGGUGCGAGCGUUGUCCGGAAUUACUGGGCGUAAAGAGCUCGUAGGCGGUCUGUCGCGUCUGCUGUGAAAACUCAGGGCUUAACCCUGAGCUUGCAGUGGGUACGGGCAGACUAGAGGUAGGCAGGGGAGAGCGGAACUCCUGGUGUAGCGGUGAAAUGCGCAGAUAUCAGGAGGAACACCGAUGGCGAAGGCAGGUCUCUGGGCCACUACUGACGCUGAGAAGCGAAAGCAUGGGGGAGCGAACAGG